GUGGGGAAUUUUGCGCAAUGGGGGAAACCCUGACGCAGCAACGCCGCGUGAGUGAUGAAGGCCUUCGGGUUGUAAAGCUCUUUUAGUGGGGAAGAAGCCCUCCCUGGCUAAUAUCCAGGGGGUCUGACGGUACCCACAGAAAAAGUUCCGGCUAACUACGUGCCAGCAGCCGCGGUAAUACGUAGGGAGCAAGCGUUGUUCGGAAUUAUUGGGCGUAAAGAGCGCGUAGGCGGUUCGGUAAGUCUGACGUGAAAUCCCGGAGCUUAACUCCGGAACUGCGUUGGAUACUGCCGGGCUUGAGUGUGGGAGAGGAGAGUGGAAUUCCCAGUGUAGAGGUGAAAUUCGUAGAUAUUGGGAGGAACACCCGUGGCGAAGGCGGCUCUCUGGACCACAACUGACGCUGAGGCGCGAAAGCUAGGGGAGCAAACGGGAUUAGAUACCCGAGUAGUCC
rnacentral:rRNA from 1 species